rnacentral:lncRNA from 1 species
AUGGCAAGAUGGAGCACACAUCUGAGGGAGGGAAGGGUUGUACCUGGUAUUUUCCCCAGCCCACAGAGCGCAGCUGUGCCCAUUUACUGCCUUUGGUUCACUAACACCUGGGGAGAGGACAGAAGCACAACUGCCAUGUGCCUCAGGAAGAGGACAGCAAGGACUUCCACCCUCAGGUCAGCCUGGAUACUGCAGCUGCGGGGUGUCCUGUGCUCCGUGGCAGAACCAGCCGGAGCAGCAGGUGCGGUGCCAUUGAUCUUCAUUUGGGUUGGAAGGGUUUUCUUGCUGGAUUUUGGAGAAGGAAUCCGUCAGUGGCACGGCCAUCAAACAGAAGGCAGCAGGAAUAUCCUUGUCAAAGAGAUGUAUGACUAUGCAGACACUCAGGAAGGUGCCAAAAAAUGCAGCUCAGAAGCAGAGGUGGCUACUAUCACCUGUCAAAGCUGA